AGAGUUUGAUCCUGGCUCAGGACGAACGCUGGCGGCGUGCCUAAUACAUGCAAGUAGAACGCUGAAGAGAGGAGCUUGCUCUUCUUGGAUGAGUUGCGAACGGGUGAGUAACGCGUAGGUAACCUGCCUUGUAGCGGGGGAUAACUAUUGGAAACGAUAGCUAAUACCGCAUAACAAUGGAUGACACAUGUCAUUUAUUUGAAAGGGGCAAUUGCUCCACUACAAGAUGGACCUGCGUUGUAUUAGCUAGUUGGUGAGGUAACGGCUCACCAAGGCGACGAUACAUAGCCGACCUGAGAGGGUGAUCGGCCACACUGGGACUGAGACACGGCCCAGACUCCUACGGGAGGCAGCAGUAGGGAAUCUUCGGCAAUGGGGGCAACCCUGACCGAGCAACGCCGCGUGAGUGAAGAAGGUUUUCGGAUCGUAAAGCUCUGUUGUAAGUCAAGAACGAGUGUGAGAGUGGAAAGUUCACACUGUGACGGUAGCUUACCAGAAAGGGACGGCUAACUACGUGCCAGCAGCCGCGGUAAUACGUAGGUCCCGAGCGUUGUCCGGAUUUAUUGGGCGUAAAGCGAGCGCAGGCGGUUUGAUAAGUCUGAAGUUAAAGGCUGUGGCUCAACCAUAGUUCGCUUUGGAAACUGUCAAACUUGAGUGCAGAAGGGGAGAGUGGAAUUCCAUGUGUAGCGGUGAAAUGCGUAGAUAUAUGGAGGAACACCGGUGGCGAAAGCGGCUCUCUGGUCUGUAACUGACGCUGAGGCUCGAAAGCGUGGGGAGCGAACAGGAUUAGAUACCCUGGUAGUCCACGCCGUAAACGAUGAGUGCUAGGUGUUGGAUCCUUUCCGGGAUUCAGUGCCGCAGCUAACGCAUUAAGCACUCCGCCUGGGGAGUACGACCGCAAGGUUGAAACUCAAAGGAAUUGACGGGGGCCCGCACAAGCGGUGGAGCAUGUGGUUUAAUUCGAAGCAACGCGAAGAACCU
rnacentral:rRNA from 1 species